AAAACCACAAAAUCUACAUAGAUUUGAUGAUUUGCGUUCAGGUAAAAGUCAAAAAAAAUUAUACCCGAAACAACGCUGUGAUUUUCACGAUUCCAUUAAAAUCUAAACUUUCAAUGAGUAAUAAUGAUAAUAAUAAAUCUGUUAACUUCGUAAAAUUUUCUGGUUUUUCAAAUUUUUCCCCCAAUUUUCCCAGCUAUUUAUAAAACUAAGUUAAAAAGACCGACAUUCUUAUACGAAAAUUAGAGAUAACAUGAUUUUUGAAUUGACAUCUUUUACUAUUAGUUACUUUCU